CAGGAGUGCUUUUGGUGACUCUGGGAAACGGCCGACCCGGGGAGGCGGCGGGCUCCCUGCAGCUCCCUUGAGAGGAGCUUCCCGUGUCCGGGUGCAACGUGCGACCUCUCCGUUUUCGUCUUGUCAUGCGAGCAAGUUACUGAUUAAUGCAGUUUAGCAAGAGUCUGCCGUGAUAAGAUAUCGCUGAUCUGUUGUGGUUUCCAUGUUUUGGUCAUCUGAGUUCACCUUGCGUUUUCAGAGUUUUACGUGCUGCUUCCAAAUGGGUGUAGCUCCUGGUCCGUAUGCUUGUCCUUACCUCGCCUACCUUCCUCGCGCCGUUGCGUGGUUCGCUGUCUUGACGGUUCACCAAACUCAGUAUCUCUCCCCACGAUUUUAUUUCUUGCCCUCUUCCUCCGAUUUCCUUCUUUAUUACCAAGUAGAAUAAAACCUGAAAACAUUUCAGAAGUUUGAGGCACUUCCUGACGCUCAGAGGGCCCGUAUGGGAUUUUUGCUGGAAGAGAUGCAUCCCGAGGCCUUGCCACUUUCUGCCUGGAUAAGGAGGCCCUGAGGGAUGAAUACGAUGACCUCUCUGAUCUCAACGCUACGCAGCAAGAGACCUUGAGGGACUGGGAAUCACAAUUCACUUUUAAAUAUCACCAUGUUGGUAAGCUGCUGAAGGAAGGGGAGGAACCUACUAUAUACUCUGAUGAAGAAGAAAAAAAUGCUCAAGGUGGAAAGAAAGACUAGAGAAUGUAGUGAGGAACAAUCCAUUUUUGUAUCUUAGAGGAUCAUUUGUAACAUUCCACUUCUGUUUUACAAGUUGCAAUCGCAAGAAUGCUUACAAAAGGUCCAGGGUUACAGCAAAUUGCAUUUCUUCUCAAAGGUCUCCUUUUCAAAUUCAGUGGUAAACUAGUCAAGAUAAAUGUCUGUCUUCCUUUAAACCUGCAUAAUCUGAAGUAUGCACAAAAAUUGCUUGUGCAAAAGUAAACUGCAAUUUUUGCAAUAAAGGACUAUUACUGUUUUUCUUCUGCCACUAUUUAGUGCAGAGUAGGUUGAAAUCCAAAUCUUUGCAUUAACAACCUAGCACUGUUGCCACAAGCACAAGAGCAACUUCACAUACGUAACCCAAAUUCCACUAAAUUUGGUUUAGUGUUAGCUUUUGCAGGAUCUGGGCAUUGGGUUCUCAUUCUAAUUUCCUUAGAAAAGGGACUAUGUUUUAUUUGUCCAUGAAGCAUCAUACUCAUUUGUGGUGCAGUAUAAUUCAAUGUAACGUCAGAUAAUUUGGCUUUUUAAGGAAUUAAGAAGAGGCUUGCAGACAAAACACUAACUGCUUUUUAAAAAGCUAGUAAUUUUUGAGAGGUUAAAUCACUUAGAGACUUACAAAAUUUGUAAGGACUGAUGAAUACUUGAUAUAUUGAGUCAUGCAGCUGGAUUAACGUUCUUUGUUUACUUUUAAAGCACAUCUAAAGUGUUACAAAGGUUUAGCUAUUGAAUGCCCAGUUGGGCAUCCCCCCAAAAAAGGGACACCAUGAAGUAUGACUCAGCAGGACUGCUAUUCAUUCACUUUUCCUCUUGGCAAAACUCUUCUGCGAAUUUCAACAAAAUGAAAUUAAAGAGUGAAAAUCAGCUGCUAUUGAUUCUUAGGCCUAAGGUAUGUUCUAUAAAAAGACUUGCUGGUAUGGCAUGAUUAACAAGUGCUCUUGUACAUGCAGCUUUAACUAGAAGAAUGACGUUUAUGGGCAAUGUAACUUACAUAAGUUUUAUGUAUAAAAUAAAAUAACAUGGCACAAGCCGUUUCUGUGUCAAGGCUUUUGUUACUUUGGAAUGUUGCUGUUAGAAAGAAACAGCAAACUCUCGUGCAUAACUAGCAGCAUUAUGCCUGGGAGAUGGGUACCUCAUCUUUGAAUUACUUCUUACUUAUUUUCUCUCUUAGCUCACAUCCAUGCUUAAUAACUAGGUUUGUUCCGACUGUGUAACCAAGUCUCAUACCAAAGGGGGCUGGUAGCUGGUUUUGACCAAGGGAAAACAUAAAUGUGGUCCUUCAUCACCCAAAAUACUUCUACAAAACUUUAGCAGGAAUUUCAAGGAGAGAACUAAUGAUUUGCUGAUCUCUCAUAAGUCUGUUUCUUGUCCAGGUGAUUCGCUGUGGGUACCUGUUUGGUAUAGUUCCCCUUAUCUGGUUUCUCUGGUUCAGCUCUGCUGCUGAGUCACUUCAAUUUGGCAGCAAGACCAAAAUGAUGAACUGAGUCCUUUAGUGGGGAAGAGUGUGUGAACUAAACAAAAUUGUUAAAAAAAAGUAGACUGUAUUCCAUAACAGCAGCUUUCAUAAACAAUUUAACACAACACGUUAAAGUGCCUGAGACCAUCUGUGGUAAGAACUGAUGACUUUCCCUCAGUCCUAACAGUUUGAUGGCAUUUUGUCUUUUGGUCAUACUGGGCCUUCAAAUGAAGAGCGCGGUUGUCUGGGCCAGAUAGCUUGCAUGAAGUGUUAAGUGUUUGAACUACCUAAUGAAGGUCUAGAGACAAAUGUAAAUCUAGUCAUGACCUUUGUGUUGCCAUUUUAUUUUUAGAGACGUUUAUACUCUUUGGAAACUACUUCUAAUGGUUUUACCUCAAAUCAGAAAUGUGCUUUUAUUUGUUUAAAGCAGAAAAUAAAAUUAAUGUUGCAUA